rnacentral:sRNA from 1 species
CUUCGUCGAUCUGCUGCGGGCAGAUGAAGUGGAUAUGGGAAUCGAUGGCGCCGGCCGUGACUAUCAUGCCUUCGCCGGCGAUGACUUCCGUGGCCGGGCCCACCACGAUCGUGAUUCCGGGCUGGAUGUCGGGGUUGCCGGCCUUGCCUAUGCCCGAAAUCAGGCCGUUCUUGAUGCCUAUGUCGGCCUUGACGAUGCCGGUGACGGCGUCGAUGAUCAGCGCGUUGGUGAUGACGGUAUCGAUGCAAUCGGCGCUCGAGCGCUGGCUUUGCCCCAUGCCGUCGCGUAU